rnacentral:lncRNA from 10 species
CGGAGAUCAAGAUCCGCCUAGGAACAGCUCUGGCGGCCGCCGCAGCAGCCCCGAGCAGCCGCACCCUGUGUUCUCCCCAGGAUGGUGGAGAGCUCAUUUGCAUACAAAUGCUCAGCACGUUGUGGGUCCUGGUUGGCAGCAUUCAGCCUGGAGAUAAAGUUAUUAAUGGCUGUUUAUAAGAAAGACAAAUUGGAGCAGGGUUUGGAGCAAGAGACCAGAAGCCAGUCCAUCACCUGCUCCCUCGGUGACCUCGCGUCACCUCUUCAUGCUUCAGUUUCUCCAUCUGUUGGUGGAAAGAAUGAUACAUGAUACCUUGCUCUCAGACUGUCAGGAACAUCUUUGGAAAGCACUAGGAGAUGCUGGAAGAGGCCCGAAAACCUUCAUAGUUGCGUUUAUGUGGUAAAAUAAAACUUCAUCUGAUGGUUUAUAAAUUACAG